UGCGAUGCAUUAGCUAGUUGGUAAGGUAACGGCUUACCAAGGCGAUGAUGCAUAGCCGAGUUGAGAGACUGAUCGGCCACAUUGGGACUGAGACACGGCCCAAACUCCUACGGGAGGCAGCAGGUAGGGAAAUCUUCCACAAUGGACGAAAGUCUGAUGGAGCAACGCCGCGUGAGUGAAGAAGGUUUUCGGAUCGUAAAGCUCUGUUGUUGGUGAAGAAGGAUAGAGGUAGUAACUGGCCUUUAUUUGACGGUAAUCAACCAGAAAGUCACGGCUAACUACGUGCCCAGCAGCCGCGGGUAAU
rnacentral:rRNA from 1 species